UCCGGCUUAACGCCGGCGGUCUCCAUAGAGUGCCCAACUGAAUGAUGGCAACUAUGGACAAGGGUUGCGCUCGUUAAGGGACUUAACCCGACAUCUCACGAUACGAGCUGACGACAGCCAUGCAGCACCUAAACUGCCGGUCACCGAAGUGAAAACUCUGUCUCCAGAGCUGUCCGACAUUGUCUAACCCAGGUAAGGUUCUUCGCGUUGCAUCGAAUUAAACCACAUGCUCCACCGCUUGUGCGGGCCCCCGUCAAUUCCUUUGAGUUUUAACCUUGCGGCCGUACUUCCCAGGCGGGGUACUUAAUGCGUUAGCGUCGGCACUGCAGGGGUCAAUUCCCACAACACCUAGUACCCAUCGUUUACAGCGUGGACUAC
rnacentral:misc_RNA from 1 species